UACAGGGGGGCAAGCGUUGUUCGGAAUUACUGGGCGUAAAGGGCUCGUAGGUGGCCGACUAAGUCAGACGUGAAAUCCCUCAGCUUAACUGGGAACUGCGUCUGAUACUGGAUGGCUUGAGUUUGGGAGAGGGAUGCGGAAUUCCAGGUGUAGCGGUGAAAUGCGUAGAUAUCUGGAGGAACACCGGUGGCGAAGGCGGCAUCCUGGACCAACACUGACACUGAGGAGCGAAAGCCAGGGAGCAAACGGG
rnacentral:rRNA from 1 species